rnacentral:rRNA from 1 species
AGUCGAGGGGCAGCAUAUAGAUUGCCUGCAAUUUAUGAUGGCGACCGGCGCACGGGUGAGUAACGCGUAUCCAACCUACCCAUUACUAGGGAAUAACCCAGCGAAAGUUGGCCUAAUGCCCUAUGUAGUCGUUUGAUCGCCUGAGAUUUCGACGAAAGAUUUAUCGGUAUUGGAUGGGGAUGCGUCUGAUUAGCUUGUUGGCGGGGUAAAGGCCCACCAAGGCAACGAUCAGUAGGGGUUCUGAGAGGAAGGUCCCCCACAUUGGAACUGAGACACGGUCCAAACUCCUACGGGAGGCAGCAGUGAGGAAUAUUGGUCAAUGGGCGAGAGCCUGAACCAGCCAAGUAGCGUGCAGGAUGACGGCCCUAUGGGUUGUAAACUGCUUUUAUAUGGGAAUAAAGUGAGGGACGUGUCCCUUAUUGCAUGUACCAUACGAAUAAGGACCGGCUAAUUCCGUGCCAGCAGCCGCGGUAAUACGGAAGGUCCAGGCGUUAUCCGGAUUUAUUGGGUUUAAAGGGAGCGUAGGCUGUUUGUUAAGCGUGUUGUGAAAUGUAGGAGCUCAACUUUUAGAUUGCAGCGCGAACUGGCAGACUUGAGUGCGCACAACGUAGGCGGAAUUCAUGGUGUAGCGGUGAAAUGCUUAGAUAUCAUGACGAACUCCGAUUGC